GUUUGGAUUAGGGACCUGGGUCUGUCCUGGAGUAGCCAUACAAAAAUGAAACAUGAGGAUAUUUGGUGAGAGAAAUUUGUCAGCAGAAUUCUCUAUGCUGGAUAGUGACUGAUAAGCUAAAUCUUCUCUCUAUUCUUUGGCAUUUGCGAUGUGAGACCCAAGAAAAUGUGGCAGUUUAGAGCAGCCAAGUUGAAGCAAUCCUAAUUUCAGCCAGAAAUAGGAGCCCAUGUAUAGAAACCAUGGGCCGUGGGGAUGGUGGAACUAAUUGUUUCUGUAGGGAACACGGUUUGAGGGUCCUUGGCCUCUGCUGUCUUCAAUGAGUUUCCUGUUCUGCAUGAUACCAGGUUGACUCUGUUUUGCAGGCUGAUAGAUGUCAAGACUUUGGUUGGGUUAUUUUCUCCCCAAGCUAAUAAAGUACAAUGACUUCAAUUGAC
rnacentral:lncRNA from 1 species